rnacentral:misc_RNA from 1 species
GAUGAAGAACGCAGCGAAAUGCGAUAAGUAAUGUGAAUUGCAGAAUUCAGUGAAUCAUCGAAUCUUUGAACGCACAUUGCGCCCGCCAGUAUUCUGGCGGGCAUGCCUGUUCGAGCGUCAUUACAACCCUCAGGCCCCCGGGCCUGGCGUUGGGGAUCGGCGGAAGCCCCCUGCGGGCACAACGCCGUCCCCCAAAUACAGUGGCGGUCCCGCCGCAGCUUCCAUUGCGUAGUAGCUAACACCUCGCAACUGGAGAGCGGCGCGGCCACGCCGUAAAACACCCAACUUCUGAAUGUUGACCUCGAAUUAGGUAGGAAUACCCGCUGAACUUAAGCAUAUCAAUAAGCGGAGGA